GAUGAACGCUGGCGGCGUGCUUAACACAUGCAAGUCGAACGAUGAAGCCCAGCUUGCUGGGUGUGCUCGUGGCGAACGGGUGAGUAACACGUGAGUAUCCUCCCCUUAACUCUGUGAUAAGCCUGGGAGACUGGGUCUAAUACCGGGUAGAAGCGUUCCCCGCAUGGUGGGGGUUGGAGAGAUUUGUCGGUUUUGGAUGGACUCGCGGCUUAUCAGCUUGUUGGUGGGGUAUUGGCUCACCAAGGCGACGACGGGUAGCCGGCCUGAGAGGGGGACCGGCCACACUGGGACUGAGACACGGCCCAGACUCCUACGGGAGGCAGCAGUGGGGAAUAUUGCACAAUGGGCGCAAGCCUGAUGCAGCGACGCCGCGUGAGGGAUGACGGCCUUCGGGUUGUAAACCGCUUUCAGUAGGGAAGAAGCGAAAGUGACGGUACCUGGAGAAGAAGCACCGGCUAACUACGUG
rnacentral:rRNA from 1 species